AUCCCACCCAGCGACACCGUCCAGCCUGGGCUUCACGUUUCCUCACACUGCCCACCAGGCAGCCCGGAUGGUUCUGGAACAGCUCAGGGAUGUUCCCGUGGAGUCAAGACCUCCCCGACUUCCCUCUCGAGUUACACCAAAUGCUGCUAGAAAGACUGCGGGUCAGGCAAGUUACUGCUGGCUUCUCGCCACUGCUGAGAAAGCUGACAUCAAAACAGACGGACAACCUCCUCGUCCCUGGGCUGGAACUCUCCUCAAAGGCUGUGGCAAAGAAAAGGCUUGAAGCCUUCAGCAUUUCCUAGAGGGACUGAUGCUAAAGCACAGGUGGAACAUAUACCAGAAUCCUGCAAGUUACCGUCGAAAAGGGAUGGAAAGCGGGGAUAAUCAUUUGUAGUUGUUUUGUUCAAAUCAGGACCCAAUCAAGGUCCACGUGCUGCAUCUGACUGCUAUGUCUCUGAAGUCUCCUUUAAUCUAUGACGGAUGUUCACUAAACUUAUCGUGGCAAUCACUGCACGAUGUAGGUAAGUCAAAACAUUAUGCCGUACACCUUGAACUUAUAAUACAGUGCUAUAUGUCAAUUAUAUCUCAAUAAAACUGGAAGGAAAAAAUCCAGCUUUGGAUUUUUUACGCUUAUAUCAGAAAGAAGGAAAAAAAUCCAGUUUUGGAUUUUUUUCCUUAUAUUGGAAAGAAGUAAAAAUGUCAGUAAUCAUAGACAACCUGACUAUUUAUCAAGAAAAUCAGAAAUAGAACUUAGAAAAUAAAAUUUGAAAAAAAUCAUACCAUAAUUUACAAUACCAUCAAAAGACACCAAAUAUCUAGGAAUAAAUCUAUCGAAAAACCUCUACCCAGAAGACAAUUUUCAACUUUUAUUUAAAACUCAAGGAUACUAUGAUAUAUAAAAUAGAUAACCAACAAGGACCUACUGGGACUUCCCUGGUGGUGCAGUGGUUAAGAAUCCACCUGCUAAUGCAGCGGACACGGGUUUGAGUCCUGGUCUGGGAAGAUCCCACAUGCUGCGGAGCAACUAAGCCCGUGCGCCACAACUACUGAGCCUGCGCUCUAGAGCCCACGAGCCACAACUGCUGAAGCCCAUGUGCCUAGAGCCCGUGCUCUGCAGCAAAGAGAAGCCACCGCAAUGAGAAGCGUGCACACCGCAACAAAGAGUAGCCCCCGCUUGCCGCAACUAGAGAAAGGCCGCACGCAGCAACGAAGACCUAACGCAGCCAAACAUAAAUAAAUAAAAUAAAAUAAAGGACCUACUGUGUAGCACAGGGAACUAUACUCAAUAUCUUGUAAUAACCUAUAAUGGAAGAGAAUGUAAUAAAAGAAUACAUAUAUUUAUACAUGUAUGUAUAACUGAAUCACUGUGCUGUAUACCUGAAACUAAUACAACAUUCUAAAUCAACUAUAUUUCAAUAAAAAUUUUAAAAAUAAACAAACUCGUGGAUAGAUCAUAUUUACAGAUUGGAAGACUCAAUAUUAUAAAGAUGUCAGUGAUUCACAAACUGAUCCAUAGAUGCAACGAAAUGCCAGUAAGUUUCCUGCAGGACUUCGGUGGAAACUUCAGGCUGAUUCUAAAAUGUGUAUGGAAAAGCAAAGGGCCAAGAAACUCUUGAAGAAGAACAAAGUGGAGGGAGGAUCACACUCCUGGAUGUAUUAUGGUACUUUCAUAAAACUGAACACGAUAUAGCGAUAAAAAUAGAAGGGAAGGAAACCGCGGGGGCACCCAACAACAUGAACAACGUGACUCUCCCACGCAGAAUGUUAAACCAAAGAACAAGACAAAAAGGGGAGUUCCCUGCUGGUCUAGUGGUUAGGAUUUCGCGCUUUCACUGCCGUGGCCUGGGUUCAGUCCCUGAUGGGGAAACUGAGAUCCCACAAGCUGAGUGGCAAGGCCAAAAUAAAAAUUUAAAAAAAAAAAAAAAAAAAGACAAAAAGGAAACCAUACUAAGGUAUUCUGUUCAUAUAAAGUUCAAAACCAUGGAAAAUCAGUCUACAGUGUCAGCAGGCAGGAGAGUGUGACCUUUGAGGAGAAGGGAAGGAGAAGUGAUUAGGAGAGAGCGUGAGGAUGGCUUUUAGGAGAUGGUAAUGUUCUAUUAUUUAAUCUGGGUGUUGGUUACAGAGUGUGUUCACUUCGUGGUAUAUCAUUGCACUAUUGCUUAUAAGUUUUUGCACUUUUCCAUAUGUAUGUUAUAAUUUAAUUAAAAAGUUUAAAAAACAGUAAGGAAAUAUGGGGGACAUAAAGCAAAUUACACAAAUAACGUGGAAAAGAAUAGAUAUAAAAAUGAGCACAGAGAGAAUGUUAGAUAUAGAAAGCAGAGUCAAUAUACUCACACUGAUAUUCCUGGAAAAGUGAACAUAUCAAAUGAAACUGAAUAGAUCUUCAAAAACCUAAUAGAUGAAAAUGUUCCGGAAACAGAGUCUUAACCUAUACAUGAAAAGGACACACCCUGUCCUAGGGAAUUCUGAUUCAAAUGCUGGUGAAGUCAUUAGACUUCAAAGAAAAACUUCAAGGAUAAAGAAACACUCAAACAGGCAUUAAGAUAGAAAAGGAGUGAGGAAAAUAAUCAAAAUUAGACUCAAGAUUUGUAUAAAUUAAAUGCCAGGAGAUAAUGGAGCAAAAUUCUUAGUAGCUGUGGUUACUGAACAGAACAUAAAUACAUUAGUUACAAUAAUAAUGCAACUAACACCAAACAGUGGGGGAGGAGAGGAGGGGGAGGAAGUGUCAGUGUGCUGAUGUCAGGUCAUCACAGCAAGAGCUGAGGACACAGGGGACCAGAGCCCAAGGCCGGUUAGGAAACCGUGAGGACUCCAACCUCUUUCCGGUUCACCUCCAUUCGCUUUCCUUCUAUUACACUCAAGUAAAUUUAAGCUUAAAGUAUUUAGAUUAAUAAUAGCAUUUAGGGCACAAUUUUCCCCUGCUUGUUUAUCUUUGUCUGUUUUAUGUCUGGGAGGAAGUCUAGAAUAAUAGUUACCAAUUGUAAAUUAAUGAGGAUGUUCCUGGGCAGAAAUUUGCUCGUUUGGGUUUUUUAAUGUACUUCUCUUUUAUUUUGUAUUGCUUCAACUUUUUAUGAAAAAAAAAUCAUUACUCCAAAUAUUAGUGAAUGAAUUAAUCAUCUAUGAAACACAAAGGCAUUUCAUUUUAUUUUUUUCCUUCCAAGUUGUAAAAAUGAAUUAAAUCUAUCCAUUGCUUGCUUGGUGGAAUCAAUAAAUAUUCACAGAAAUGGACAUGAUUUGUUUUAUCAAGAGUAAACUUAAUUAGCACAAAAUUACUAAAAUAAAAUAGUAACUCUGCAACAGAACAUUUGUGUCUCCCCAAAGUUUAUACAUAUGUCGAAACCUAAUCCCCAUUGUGACGGUGUUAGGAGGUGGGGCCUCUGAGAGGUGAUUAGGUCAUGAGGGUAGAGCCCCCAUGAAUGGGAUUAGUGCCCUUAUACAAGACUCCAGAGACCAGCCUCACCCCUUCUGCCAUGUGAGGGCACAGCCAUCUGUGAACAGGAAGAGGGCUCUCACCAGACAACAAAUCUAUUGGCACUUUGGUCUUAGACUUCCCAGCCUCCAGACCUGUGAGAAAUAAGUUUCUGUUGUUUGUAAGC